ACGGUAGUUGCCGGGUAGAAAAAGGUUUGGGCUUUUAGAAAAAGCCCUUUCUUUAUUUUUCAAAUAAAUAUUACCAUC
rnacentral:tRNA from 1 species